rnacentral:lncRNA from 1 species
GUUGGUAAAACAUGAUGACAUAAUGGAAGUUAUAGUGCUAUUUUACAUCAAGACUGAAUUAAACGUGCUUGUCUGAUUUUUUUUCUUUUGAAAGGGAUAAGAAACUCAUAGCAGUUUGCUCUACAAAUCUUAAUUUUUGAAUAACCAUAAAUCCUUGGAACAGGAUUUAUAUUGAAUCCCAGCCAAUAUACAGAAAGAACCAAACCUUUUUCUGCUUUAUAUCUACUAGUGUAGUAAGCAUCUUUUCCAAGGCAGUAUUAAAUUCAAUCUUAUGCUUGAUGACACUCAACACCGCCGAAGAAAUUCAUAUCUUCAUGGCAACAAUCACUAAUAUUUUUUACGAGAGAGAAAUUCUGAAGGAUGACUUGAACUAAUAAUACCACCUUUUAAAGGAAAAAAGUGUCUUCUUUCCUUCAAUACUCAAUGUUGGAAAGGUUCCCCAAGCUUUACUAGCUCAUAGGAUGGACUUGAAUUUUGUUUUCUGAUCGUAGUUCUGCUUAUCAAAGAUCCAUGUCUAGUUUAAAAUUAAAGUUUGGUGUGUUUAUAGCCUUAAUCUAAAUUAUAAGAUCGUCGGUUAAAACUAAUUCAAAUUUUUUGAGACCAGAAUGAAGUUGCUGACUUAAAUGGAUGAUAGUGAUAUGAUUCAAAUAAU